UCUAUUAUAGAUGCAACAUUUCAAUUAAUUUUUUUUCUGUUUAGAUUAGCGAAGGUAGGCCCAUCUAGGUAGUGGGCCAAGCAACCUUAUGAGCCUUUUAUGUAACUGUACUUUCCAGGCCCUAAACACUUCCUAAGAAGCACUCACAAAAAUAAGCCCAUAUAUUAGGGAAAAAAUCAUAUUACAAAUGGGAGAAAAUUCAAUUAUUAUCUACAACUAAAUGGGAUGGAGGGUGCUGUUGGCGAGGCCCGGGUACUGCUGAGGAGACAAGGUGGUGUAACGGCGGCUCAGAUGGGAGAACUCCUCGUCGUCCUCAAUACUCGUCGUCCACAACCCGGUGGCGCCAGCAACCAUGCAGGGGUCGCCAGCUAGCUGCAGAGAAGAACCUCGAUGAGCUGCUUACUCUAGCGGCAAGGGUGGGAUACAGAAAGAAAUAACAGGUUGGGUCGGGUAUAACGGGUCGGUUUAGGAGGGUAUGGAUCUCUGUUCUGGAUUUGAGCUGGUCUGUCGGCCGGUCCAUCAUCUAAAAAAAUAAAUAUAAUUGUACUAUCAGUACAUUAAAAUUAAACUCUUUAUCUCAAACUAAUUAUUAUGAGAGCUGAUACACUCAAGUCAAAGAAUAUUCAAAGAGAUAAGGUGAAAACUAGGGGUUGAGUUCAUACCUUGGAGGAGCUAAGAUCUCUCUAUUUACGAAAACUUUUGGAGUUUGUUAGAAUCCAUUGAUUUGAGGAAUUGUUGUGAUUUGCUUCAUCUCAAUUUAUGGAACAUCGUUAAAUAACGUAUCAAUUCAAAUCUCGAAUUAUGGUUGGCCUCCGUUUGGGCUCGAUUGUCGUGGAGAUGGGUCAGAUCUGAGGAUCGUUGGGUGUGGCCAGUAGGCAGAUCGGGAACAAAAAUUAACUAAUAAAAAUAAAAAAAAAAAUUAUUUCUUUAUGGUUUUAAUUUGAAUCUUAAUUUUAAAUUGUGCCUAGGCUGAAAAAUCCCUUGGAUUGUUAUGGUUGGAUGGCAUGAAAAGUGGACUUGUAGUGUAUCAUGUUCGGAUGCUGUUCUGUUUUUGCGUGUUUCUCUGAAUCAUAUUUAGGGUUUUAAAUUGUUAAAACCAAGGGAAACCUUUUUAAUUGAUGGGAGUAAAGAAUGCUAACAAUUCUUAGCCUCUUCACUAUUGAAUAUGUGGCCAAAUUCGGCUAAUAGUUCUUAAGGUGAAUGAAUAAGUCCUCCUAGUAAUAUUUGAUUGAAGGAUUCAGCUCAUAUUCAGGAAAAACUGUGUCAGUGGAUCUGGAGACAACAAGAGGGAGGAUCAAGGGUUGCAACAGUUGAUAUACUUAACUACAUUCAGAAUGAGCUUGAUUACUCUGGAGAGGAGCCAUCUGUGUCGCCCAGAGCACCACCACAACACCAACAAUCUCAACAUCUUCAGUUACUUUGUUACAAACUUUAAUUUGUCCAGAGAUUUUUGCAAGAUAAUAUUUCAUUCUAUAUAUUCUCCCUCUAUUAUAAGUAUUCAAGUAGAAAAUACAUGUAUAUUGAGCCUUGUUAUUUUUGUCAUACUUCAUUGUAAAAUAUUGUCAAGCUGGAUCAGAUUUAUCUCUGGAUGAACCAGUUUGAGAAUCUUGAAUAGCAUUAUCUUGUGGCUGUGAGUUACUUUGUGAUUGUUCCAUCUGUAACAAUCAGAAAAUCAUAGACCAGAAGAUAAUUUCAGAAAACCAUGAACAAAUAAGAUAUUCAGCAACCAAAAUCAUGAAGCAACAAACAAAUUAAUCAUGAACAAAUAACCUCAGAAAAUCAAAAGCCAGAAUCAUGAAGCAGCAACCAAAUUCAUCAUGAACAAAUAACCCCAG